rnacentral:rRNA from 1 species
AGUGAACGCUGGCGGUAGGCCUAACACAUGCAAGUCGAACGGCAGCACCGUAAGAGCUUGCUCUUACGGGUGGCGAGUGGCGGACGGGUGAGGAAUACAUCGGAAUCUACUUUUUCGUGGGGGAUAACGUAGGGAAACUUACGCUAAUACCGCAUACGACCUACGGGUGAAAGCAGGGGAUCUUCGGACCUUGCGCGAUUGAAUGAGCCGAUGUCGGAUUGGCUAGUUGGCGGGGUAAAGGCCCACCAAGGCGACGAUCCGUAGCUGGUCUGAGAGGAUGAUCCGCCACACUGGAACUGAGACACGGUCCAGACUCCUGCGGGAGGCAGCAGUGGGGAAUAUUGGACAAUGGGCGCAAGCCUGAUCCAGCCAUACCGCGUGGGUGAAGAAGGCCCUCGGGUUGUAAAGCCCUUUUGUUGGGAAAGAAAAGCAGCAGGUUAAUACCCCGCUGUUCUGACGGUACCGAAAGAAUAAGCACCGGCUAACUUCGUG